AAACGUUCUGAAUGAACUGCUGCAUGAGAAUCACGUCACCGUUGAUAUCAACGAGAUGUUUGAACAUUCCGUUAUGCAGUUCACGGAAUCCCGGCCAUCCUCGAAAGUCGUCGAGGCAGAGUAUGACUGUGUCGAGAUCGCGUGUGAGGUUAGCCAUGUGAAGAGCCGAUGCGCCCAAGAACGUUCCGACUUCGAUGAUGGUCUUGGGUUGCGUAGACUCCACGAGUUCGGCGAAGACGGUGGCAGUGGAGCCCCAACCCCGGACACGGCGAGUAAGAAGUGCUGGUGCUACGUGCGGUGGGGGGAAAUUCUCGUAUGGGGUGAUGUUGUUGUAGAUUUUAUUGAGGAGCAUGGGACGGAUCUCUGAUGGGGGAAUUCGCGGACUGCAGUCUGUUCGGAAUUGAGAGUGUUGGUCGGUUUGAUCGGAUUUCAAUUCCGGCGACUUCGGCUGAGUAGUGGAGAAAAAUCCGAUGGAGUAGCCGACGAUGAAGAUGGCCAAAAAGCCCAAUAACUCCAGUGGUUUCGACACCGUCAGUUUCCUUCUGCCGAUCAUCUCUUCGGAUUUCAGUUCUGGACUGCACUUUCUUUGAACUUUAAUUAUCCAUCUCUAUAGAUUAUUCUAUUUGACUAAUUAUUAAAGUAAUUAAUCUAACCAUUUAAAAUAAAACAAGGGUCCAUUUAUUUGUCCAUGUUACUAUUGAAUUUCAGUCAGAUUCGGAUACCAGGGCAUGUAUAUCGGUCGAUAUCCGAGCCAAAUCUGGAUAAUAUCCGGAUAAUCUGAAUCUGUUCGAAUAAUAUCCAGAUAAAAAAAAUCUGAAUUUGAAUAAAUUUUGGAUAUUCGAAAAAUCGGAUAACAUUUUAUAAAAAUCUUAAAAUAUAAAUAUAAAAUCACCCUUAAUAAAGUUAAUUAAUAGUCAAUUAAUCACCUUAAAAUUCGGAUAUCCGAAGGUCAAUUUAUAUUUAUUCAGAUAUUCGAAUCCGAAAUUAUCAAUCCGAAUUCGAAUUUUAAUGGCAGAUAUUCGGAUCCGUCUGGAUGAUUUUCGGAUAUCAUUUUUGGUAUCCGAAUUAGGAUCCGGAAUCCGAAAAUUCGAAAACAGAUACGAGUACGGAUUUCGGUAUAUCGCUUACUAUUGAUACGGAUUUCGCACUCUUAGUUAAAAGAAUUUUUUGCAUAACGGUAGAUAGGGGUAAAACCGGGACGAAUCGCAGACGGGGCGGGCAUGUCCCAUGAUCUGCCUCAGUUAGGACGACCGGGACGAGUCAAACAUAUUGACCACUGGUCCGGUUUCUGCCCCGGAUCUGAUGCUCGGGGUGUGGAACGGGAGGAAUCUGGGGUAACCUGCUUGAGUUUCGCUCUGUCUCGGAAUAUGACCGAAGUAAUAGGGCGAAAUUUUAAAAACAGGACAGAAUAUAUGUCCCGACCCCAGUUACCACCGUCACCCAUAACGGUAGAUAUCUUUUUACAAGAUGUAGAAAACACGUCUAGUCCGAUAUAAUCUGUAGUCGUUCAUGUCUCGUCUUUCGACUUCUACUAUUCAAAUUCAAAGGUAACUGGGUAAUCGGAUAACAAACACCCAAUACACCCGAUACCCAAAAUUCUGUUAAAAUAAUUGACAGAAAAUAUAUAAAAAGCAGCAAGGACGGUUGGGUGGUUAAUCCAAUUUUCAUUUUCUGUUCUGUAAGUUUGAUCCUUUCUAACUCUUGCUCAAUUCCCGACUCGAAGUUCUCUUCGUUUUCGUUUCUGCAAAUUCUAUUUUUGGUAAUCUUUUCUUUUGAAUUUACUCUGUUUCCAGGUAUCAAUUCUAUCUUGUCGUCGUCGUUUUCAGAUUCUGAUCAUUCUAUUCUAUUGUUAAAUCUUAGAAUUUGUUCAUUUCAUAUUCUAAUUCUGAUCAUUCUGACCAAUUUUGUUCGUUUCAUAUUCUAAUUCAAUGUCUUUAAUAAGUAGUUCGACAUACUUAGUUACUUGUCAAUUCAGAUUCUAUUCAGUUUGUUCUUUGUUAUAAUUGUAAAUCCAAUUCUAGACACUUGUCUGAGUUAAAUCAUUUUGAUAAGGAUGAGAUUACAUUCAUAUAGCAAUUGAUAAUGCUAAAUGGUAUACAUAAAUUCGUAUUUAUUUUCGAAUUCAAAUAUGUCUAAUCGAAUUCGAAUUUGUGGAUCUCGAAUCUGGAUUCGGAUACCAAAAAUGAUAUUCGAAAAUUAUCCAAACAGAAUCUGAAUUCGAUUGAUAAUCUGAAUUCAGUUGAUAAUUUCAUAUUCGGAUAUCCGAAUAAAUAUAAAUUAACUUAUGAAUAUCCGGAUUUUAGGAUGAUUAAUUAAUUAACUUUAUUAAAAGUGAUUUUAUACUUUUAUAAUUUUAUUGACAAAAUACCGAGCGUUCCCCCUUGCAGACAAAAUCCCUAGCGAAGUGAAGUUCACUCGUUCGCCCGGUGCGAACGAGCGAGGUCACCCCAGAUCAGUUGCACUCCACGCCUUACCUCCAGAUCAAAUCUCCUCCCUAACCUCUUUUUUAACUGGAUCGAAUGACCUCGGCUCCACGCCUGAUUACAACCGAGCGAACACCCAGUGACCGCGAGUGAGAUCAUUUCGCAAGCAACAGUUCUCCACUUCCGAUGAGCGACAGAUACAACUACCAGAAAAUAGGAGGAAAUCUCGCUAUUGGUUUUUGACCUACAAGCCGAGGACUAGCACGCUACAUCUAUUCCAUACAUCUUAUCUACUUUUAGUUGUUUAGUUAAUUGGUUUGUAAUUUCUUUAUUUUCUAUUUAAUCUAAAUCGCUUUUGAAAAAUAUAUAUAUAUAUAUAUAUUUUAAAAUUUUUAUAAAAAAGUUAUCCGGAUUCAGAUUCAGGGUUAGAGUUAGGAUUCUGAUUUUUCAGAUAUCCGAAAAUUUAUUAUUGUUCAGACGAAUUCAAAUUAUCCGGAUUUAGAUUCGGAUACCAGGAUAUCUGAACCGAAUCCGAUCAAUAUACAGGCCUAAUGAUGCCCAUACCCAAGGAUUGGGCCAGGAAUCGAUCAGGCCUGGGAACCUUAAGUCCACAACCUACAUGCCCAAUGGUCUCGCGAUCACUAUAAUUACCCCCAAGGAUGAAGGGGAGAAGAUCUUUUGCCACUUUGAAAACCUAGGAAGUAGGAGAGCUUGAGUGAUUGACGAUCGAGCUAAUCAAUGGAGUUAGCUGGAGUACUAGUUAACAAACAUUAUGUAGAAUCAAGAUUGCAAUACGUAUUAUAUUUUGAUAAUCAUAAUUAAUUAACUUUAUUUACACAAUUGAUCAUAUAUGGUGAAAUCAAUAUUCGAAAUUAGAAUCAUAUUUGUACUCUCAAUUUAAAUGACCAUAGUCAAAAUAUAGAUCAAAGUCAAAAGUCUAAAUCAAUUUACAAAGUCUAUAAAAGAAUUCAUUUCGUCCACUCAGAUUUCAAAUCUCUUUAAAACUUCCAAACUUCCAAAAUUUUUCAAAGUUGUUCUAGUGUUGAAGCUUUCUGAAGCUCACAUCUUCUUUUAAUCUUAUUCAAGUAAGUAAAAUGUGAGAUUUUUCUUUGGAUUUCUAUUCUAUUACCAUCUUCUAACGUUCUUGGUUGAAAUACUUGUCUUAAGACUAUUAAAGUGUAAGAGAAAGGUUUUUGAGUUUAAGCAAAAUGUUUAAGGUUGAUUUUAUAAAGUUAUCGAAAAGACUAUCAGUUGCAAGUUUCCUAUAAAACUUAAAGGUUUGUAAACGAUUGUAGUGUUGAACCCGUGGUGUUGUAUAUAAACUAUUUAACUAUAUGCAAGUUGUACCCACUCCAUGUGGUUGGUUCCUCAAAUUUAAUAAUGUUGUUGGACCAACCAAAUUCAAUACCACAAUGGGUCCAAAGAAAACUUAUAGAAACUAAACAAAUCCAAAAAUUGAUUCAGCAGAAAGGUGAGAAAGUAGCGAGAUUGGAUCUGGUCUCAGAAACUAUUAAAGUUCAAGUUAAAAUUUUAAUUUAUACAUUUUCAAUUAAAUUUGUUUGACAAUAUAUUAUAUGGCUCUAGUAUAUCAUUUGAUCGAUAAUUUUUCUUUUUGUCACGUUCUGGUCAUAUUUUGAGAAAUAGAUUUAGGGGCAACAUUCUCGUCUAUAUUUAUCAUUAUACAGAGAUAUUAACUCAAUUAAUCACAGUAUCUAUUAAAGUUUUUAAAAAUUUAAAAUUCGAAUCUGGUUAUGUAUAUUUUCAUUAAAUUAUAAAAAAAUUAAUAGAUUUAAAAAUCGAGAAAAUUACAAAGAAAGUCAUUAUAUACUUGAAAAUUACAAAAUGACAUUUAAUUAUCUAACUGGUAUAUUUUUUAUUACACAAAUAUUUAUUUUGGCGGGAAGCAAGAUAUUUAUUUGAUAUUUUAUUACACAAAUACCGUUUACCGUUUGGUGAAGAAAGAAACAAGACUACAUCACUUUUUUGGUGGUAGGACCCAAUGCUGACCGUGGGGUUGCACUUUGAGGCCCUUCUCGUCGGCGAAGAGAAUAAUCGCCCUCCGAACACCGUAAUCAUCCACAGCCAAAUUAUAGUCAUGGCCGAACAUAACACCGCCGUGAGCAACCAACGGCCAGGCCAGAUUGAUAUCGGCCCAAGCAGAAUGGAAGUCGUGACCAGCAUCCACCUCGACCAAGUCGGCGUACACACCCCACUCGCAAAAUGCCGCCAGUGCUGAUCCCGUUGAGAAUGGCACGGGAAGCACUCUCUUCUCCUCUCCGGCAUCCAAGACGUUCUGAAUGAACUGCUGCAUGAGAAUCACGUCACCGUUUAUAUCAACAAGAUGUUUGAACAUUCCGUUAUACAGUUCACGGAAUCCCGGCCAUCCUCGGAAGUCGUCGAGGCAGAGUAUGACUGUGUCGAGAUCGCGUGUGAGGUUAGCCAUGUGAAGAGCCGAUGCGCCCAAGAACGUUCCGACUUCGAUAAUGGUCUUGGGUUGUAUAGACUCCACGAGUUCGGAGAAGACGGUUGCGGUUGAACCCCAUCCCCGGACACGGCGAGUGAGCAGUGCUGGUGCUACGUGCG
rnacentral:lncRNA from 1 species